rnacentral:lncRNA from 10 species
GCCUGCGACCGCUCCGCCCGCUGUGGACUGAAGCCUGGUCUUCUCUCGGGUCAGCACAGAAGGCAGCCCCGCCUUCCUUGCGCUCCGCCUUCCUAAUGUCACUGCUGGAUCGUGAGAGAACGUGGAGGAACAGAACCAAAGCGGAGAGCGGCGACUCACCCUCCAGCUGCUCCACACGCCGGGCCUUGGACGCUCGAGCGCUCCUGGGCCCCUUGACGUUCACUCCCCACCCCCAUCCCAGUCGCGGACCCUUUGUGCAGAGCUCCGCUGAGCCACAGUAAUCCUAAAAGCACAGCAGAGCUCCGCUGAGCCACAUUAAUCCUAAAAGAUGCAAUUGCUUCAAGUGGAAGUCUGAUUUUUUUUUUUUUUUUGAGACGGAGUCUCGCGUUGUCGCUUAGGCUGAAGUGAAAUGGCGCGAUCUCUGCUCACUGCAACCUCUGCCUCCCGGGUUCAAGCGAUUCUCCUGCCUCAGCCUCCCGAGUAGUUGGGAUUACAGGGGCCCGUCACCUAACGCCGGGGUAAUUUUUGUAUUUUUGGUAGAGACAGGGUUUCGCCAUGUUGGCCAGGCUGGUCUUGAACCCCUGAACUCAAGUGAUCCGCCAGCCUCGGCCUCCCAAAGUAUUGGGAUUACAGGAGUGAGCCACCGCGCCUGGCCGUGGAAUCUGAUCGUUGAAAUCAGUGUUCUACAAUAUUCUUUUUAUUUGUAGGUUUCAUCCUGGAAUCCUAAAACUUGUGUAGGAUAAGGCUUAAUUUUAUAAGCAAAGGUAUUCAACCCUGCCACAUUCAAUGCCCUGUAUUUACAACAAAAAAUAUAACACUGCUUUACUCUUCUGGAGUUAAAUUCCUAAUGCAAACUAUCUCUACAAAUAAUUUCAAGAAACCAAUGUAAUGUUCUAAUAAAGGUGAAAAAGGAGAAAGUAGUUCAUAAUAAAAUACUGUAUGUACUAAUAUCAAGAAAAAUUUUAAAAUAACAGAGUUUUCACAAUGUAAAUACUCUGCCACCAAUAGAAUGCAAAACAAAAACUGUCCCGGCAAAAUUUCAGUAUGCCCCUGAGGGGCAGUACUGCCCUCGCUGGGAACCUCUUUAGACCGAGGAAGAGGUCUGGAAAUGCUUCAAAUAGAGAAAUUCAUU